rnacentral:snoRNA from 1 species
AGCUGCGGAUGAAGAGAUGUACGAAAUAGACAGUUAUCCCUGGCUGAUUUUUAUCUUCAAGUGCUGAUAUUUCUUCGAAAUCCGACGCAGAA